GACGUAGGGCGCGAGCGUUGUCCGGAUUUAUUGGGCGUAAAGAGCUCGUAGGCGGCUUGUUGCGUCGACUGUGAAAACCUGCGGCUCAACCGUGUGGUCUGCAGUCGAUACGGGCAGGCUGGAGUUCGGUAGGGGAGACUGGAAUUCCUGGUGUAGCGGUGAAAUGCGCAGAUAUCAGGAGGAACACCGGUGGCGAAGGCAGCUCGCUGGGACGUUACUGACGCUGAGACGCGAAAGCGUGGGGAGCAAACAGG
rnacentral:rRNA from 1 species